UACGUAGGGGGCAAGCGUUGUUCGGAAUUACUGGGCGUAAAGGGCUCGUAGGCGGCCAACUAAGUCAGACGUGAAAUCCCUCGGCUUAACCGGGGAACUGCAUCUGAUACUGGAUGGCUUGAGUUCGGGAGAGGGAUGCGGAAUUCCAGGUGUAGCGGUGAAAUGCGUAGAUAUCUGGAGGAACACCGGUGGCGAAGGCGGCAUCCUGGACCGACACUGACGCUGAGGAGCGAAAGCGUGGGGAGCGAACAGG
rnacentral:rRNA from 1 species